CCAUACGGCCAUACCAGCCGAAGAACGCCCGAUCUCGUCUGAUCUCGGAAGCUAAGAAGGCUUGGGUCUAGUUAGUACUUGGAUGGGAGACUGCCUGGCAAUAACAGGUGCUGUAAGCU
ensembl:rRNA 5S_rRNA 5S ribosomal RNA